rnacentral:lncRNA from 1 species
CUAGCCUCAUAAUUAUUAUUUUUUCCCAUUAAUCAAAACUUUUCAGAGGAGACAGUGAUUUUUACUAUUCAUUCAACCAGUUUGCACAGAAAGACAGAGGCCAGAAGCCUGAAUGAAAUGGGAUCUUGCUAUAUGGCCCAGGCUGCUCUCUAACUUCUGGCCUCAAGCAGUUCUCCUGCUUCAGCCUCCCGAGGUGCUGGAAUUACAGGCAUAAGACACUGUGCCUGACUUAAAAGAUAUAGCUCUCAGACAUUACUAAAACUGAAAAGACAUUGCCAUUGGUGAUGAUCAGUUAACAUUACAUGAGCAUCUGAGGAAGAGACAGAGGACUUAUACAGGAGGAAGCUGAUGAUUAGCUCCUUGUUCAAGAGCUGGCCUCUGACAGAGGAGUGGGAUUGGUACAUGUGGAGAAGCACUAGUGUGCUCCAGAUAGAAAUAAUGAUGUCAACAAUGGAGAUGGAUGUGUUUGGGGCAUGUGCCAUGACAAUGGAGACUGGUGAUUGACUGUGGUGUAUGGUCUGAAAAGAAGGAAGAGAGAAAACACAACUGGAUCUGUGAGGGGAGGGCUAGGGAAUUAAUCACUUGGAUACUGGACAGUAAUUGAAGAUGUGACAAGACACAGCAGGGCUCCAGGCUGCAGAGAGAGACAAGUGAUUAGAAUGCAGCCAGGGAAGGUGAGAAUUAAUGUGAGUCAAGCCUUAGGCAUCAACGGUGAGGAUGUGGAGGAAUGAGGGUCUGCAGUUCCGACUGUGGCUGGGGUCCGAGGCAUUGAGAAGAAAUAGUGUGUGAUGUGAGUUCCUGUGCAACAUGUGUGAUCUGCUGAGGUCUCACCUGGAAUUCAAGGCAGCCCUUAUCCCAUCUACAUCAGGAUUCAGCUACACUUGCUGAAGUGACCCGUGUGCAACCCUGAAAUUCUGGAGUAAACAGUCAUAAAUUACGAUUUGUCCUUUUCUUCAACUCCCAACAUCAGGAAGCACCCUGCAUCAUUGCAAUAAGAAGUGUAGAAUGACUAAGAAAAAUAAAUCUGGCAGACCCCAGGGUGCUAGCAAGGUGGUUCCUGGAUGGGGCCUGAGAGGAGAGGGGAGAAACCUUUGAAGUCAAAUGAAAUAAUGUACUUG